UUCCAGACUCCUACGGGAGGCAGCAGUGAGGAAUAUUGGUCAAUGGUCGGGAGACUGAACCAGCCAAGCCGCGUGAGGGAGGAAGGUACAGAGUAUCGUAAACCUCUUUUGUCAGGGAACAAAGACUGGGACGCGUCCCCGGAUGAGUGUACCUGAAGAAAAAGCAUCGGCUAACUCCGUGCCAGCAGCCGCGGUAAUACGGAGGAUGCGAGCGUUAUCCGGAUUUAUUGGGUUUAAAGGGUGCGUAGGCGGAGUGUCAAGUCAGCGGUAAAAUUUCGGGGCUCAACCCCGUCGUGCCGUUGAAACUGACGCCCUUGAGUGAGUGAGAAGUAAGCGGAAUGCGUGGUGUAGCGGUGAAAUGCAUAGAUAUCACGCAGAACUCCGAUUGCGAAGGCAGCAUACCGGCGCUCAACUGACGCUCAUGCACGAAAGCGUGGGUAUCGAACAGGAUUAGAUACCCCGGUA
rnacentral:rRNA from 1 species